GAGACCCACGCCAACAGUUGCCAGCUCGUCCUCCGGGAUGGAGGGGACACUGUUGGGACCGCCUCUGCUAAAGAGGAGGAAGGAAUGGGCAAAGGUAGGUCAGCAUGCCCCGAAUUAUCCGGGCUACACGCGGGCUACAAUGGGUGGGACAAUGGGUAUCGACACCGAAAGGUGAAGGCAAUCUCCUAAACCCAUCCUUAGUUCGGAUUGUGGGCUGCAACUCGCCCACAUGAAGCUGGAAUCCGUAGUAAUCGUGUUUCAAAAUAGCACGGUGAAUAU
rnacentral:rRNA from 1 species